rnacentral:ncRNA from 1 species
UCCCCGCUUCUCCUCCCUGAGCGGGCGCCUUAAUCCCAUUAAGGCUUUUUUGCCCCGGCUUUACUCCCCUUUAGCCGGGGCUUUUGUUU